UACGUAGGGGGCUAGCGUUGUCCGGAAUCAUUGGGCGUAAAGAGCGUGUAGGCGGCCCGGUAAGUCCGCUGUGAAAGUCGGGGGCUCAACCCUCGAAUGCCGGUGGAUACUGUCGGGCUAGAGUGCGGAAGAGGCGAGCGGAAUUCCAGGUGUAGCGGUGAAAUGCGUAGAUAUCUGGAGGAACACCGGUGGCGAAGGCGGCAUCCUGGACCGGCAUUGACGCUGAGGCGCGAAAGCUAGGGGAGCAAACGGG
rnacentral:rRNA from 1 species